UGGUAACAAGCUCAGCCAACACUUUGUUCUUCGUUUCCAAGUAACUUUGUUUAUGCUCCUUUGCAGGCUGAAAACCUGAACUCUGGAUUUACUUCGCUAAUCACUGACUUCGUGUCCGGAAGUUUGUGGAUGAACAAGAUUACCUACGUUCUGAGGACUUUGUCUCCUAACAACUGUUUCCAUCUGGAUUCAGACCAAGCUGGCAGUUUCCUGCUUCCUCUGUUUCCUGGACCUAGACUUAAGUGUACCCUGUCCACCCUCCAACGCAAGUAUCUGCACAUUGAACUCUCCUGAAAUCAAGCUCAAACAGCACCAAAGAAAUCAUCUGAACUAUGUGUUUCGACAACCUGGACCCCAAAUCCCUCCACCCCUGGCGACCUGACCGCACCCACUUGUUGAAGAUUGUUGGCACAAUAAAAACAUCAUUUCACUAAAUCUA